GACGAAGGGGACUAGCGUUGUUCGGAAUUACUGGGCGUAAAGGGCGCGUAGGCGGCCUUCUAAGUCGAACGUGAAAUCCCCGGGCUCAACCCGGGAACUGCGUCCGAUACUGGAAGGCUUGAAUCCGGGAGAGGGAUGUGGAAUUCCAGGUGUAGCGGUGAAAUGCGUAGAUAUCUGGAGGAACACCGGUGGCGAAGGCGACAUCCUGGACCGGUAUUGACGCUGAGGCGCGAAAGCCAGGGGAGCAAACGGG
rnacentral:rRNA from 1 species